GAGUUUGAUCGUGGCUCAGGAUGAACGCUAGCGGCAGGCUUAACACAUGCAAGUCGAGGGGUAACAGGGGUAGCAAUACCUGCUGACGACCGGCAAACGGGUGCGGAACACGUACAGAACUUACCCUGGUCUGGGGCAUAGCCCGGAGAAAUCCGGAUUAACUCCCCAUAACAUAUAUGAGUGGCAUCACUUGGAUAUUAAAAAUUCAUUGGACCAGGAUGGCUGUGCGUCCCAUUAGCUAGUUGGUAGGGUAACGGCCUACCAAGGCGACGAUGGGUAGCUGGUGUGAGAGCACGACCAGCCACACGGGCACUGAGACACGGGCCCGACUCCUACGGGAGGCAGCAGUGAGGAAUAUUGGUCAAUGGGCGCAAGCCUGAACCAGCCAUGCCGCGUGAAGGAUGAAGGCCUUCUGGUUGUAAACUUCUUUUAUCUGGGAAGAAAGCAUUGUUUCUACGAUGUCCGACGGUACCAGAGGAAUAAGCACCGGCUAACUCCGUGCCAGCCGCCGCCGUAAC
rnacentral:rRNA from 1 species